rnacentral:rRNA from 2 species
UAGAGUUUGAUCAUGGCUCAGGACGAACGCUGGCGGCGUGCCUAAUACAUGCAAGUCGAACGAACUCUGGUAUUGAUUGGUGCUUGCAUCAUGAUUUACAUUUGAGUGAGUGGCGAACUGGUGAGUAACACGUGGGAAACCUGCCCAGAAGCGGGGGAUAACACCUGGAAACAGAUGCUAAUACCGCAUAACAACUUGGACCGCAUGGUCCGAGUUUGAAAGAUGGCUUCGGCUAUCACUUUUGGAUGGUCCCGCGGCGUAUUAGCUAGAUGGUGGGGUAACGGCUCACCAUGGCAAUGAUACGUAGCCGACCUGAGAGGGUAAUCGGCCACAUUGGGACUGAGACACGGCCCAAACUCCUACGGGAGGCAGCAGUAGGGAAUCUUCCACAAUGGACGAAAGUCUGAUGGAGCAACGCCGCGUGAGUGAAGAAGGGUUUCGGCUCGUAAAACUCUGUUGUUAAAGAAGAACAUAUCUGAGAGUAACUGUUCAGGUAUUGACGGUAUUUAACCAGAAAGCCACGGCUAACUACGUGCCAGCAGCCGCGGUAAUACGUAGGUGGCAAGCGUUGUCCGGAUUUAUUGGGCGUAAAGCGAGCGCAGGCGGUUUUUUAAGUCUGAUGUGAAAGCCUUCGGCUCAACCGAAGAAGUGCAUCGGAAACUGGGAAACUUGAGUGCAGAAGAGGACAGUGGAACUCCAUGUGUAGCGGUGAAAUGCGUAGAUAUAUGGAAGAACACCAGUGGCGAAGGCGGCUGUCUGGUCUGUAACUGACGCUGAGGCUCGAAAGUAUGGGUAGCAAACAGGAUUAGAUACCCUGGUAGUCCAUACCGUAAACGAUGAAUGCUAAGUGUUGGAGGGUUUCCGCCCUUCAGUGCUGCAGCUAACGCAUUAAGCAUUCCGCCUGGGGAGUACGGCCGCAAGGCUGAAACUCAAAGGAAUUGACGGGGGCCCGCACAAGCGGUGGAGCAUGUGGUUUAAUUCGAAGCUACGCGAAGAACCUUACCAGGUCUUGACAUACUAUGCAAAUCUAAGAGAUUAGACGUUCCCUUCGGGGACAUGGAUACAGGUGGUGCAUGGUUGUCGUCAGCUCGUGUCGUGAGAUGUUGGGUUAAGUCCCGCAACGAGCGCAACCCUUAUUAUCAGUUGCCAGCAUUAAGUUGGGCACUCUGGUGAGACUGCCGGUGACAAACCGGAGGAAGGUGGGGAUGACGUCAAAUCAUCAUGCCCCUUAUGACCUGGGCUACACACGUGCUACAAUGGAUGGUACAACGAGUUGCGAACUCGCGAGAGUAAGCUAAUCUCUUAAAGCCAUUCUCAGUUCGGAUUGUAGGCUGCAACUCGCCUACAUGAAGUCGGAAUCGCUAGUAAUCGCGGAUCAGCAUGCCGCGGUGAAUACGUUCCCGGGCCUUGUACACACCGCCCGUCACACCAUGAGAGUUUGUAACACCCAAAGUCGGUGGGGUAACCUUUUAGGAACCAGCCGCCUAAGGUGGGACAGAUGAUUAGGGUGAAGUCGUAACAAGGUAGCCGUAGGAGAACCUGCGGUUGGAUCACCUCCUUAA